AACAAUUAAAUAGUGAUUACUUAUUUAUGCUGUGAAUAGGCACAGCGUCUCUACAAGACACCGCAAUGUCUAACAAUAAGUGAGCUUUUUGAGCUU
rnacentral:ncRNA from 2 species